rnacentral:tRNA from 1 species
UUAGCUCAGUAGGUAGAGCAACUGACUUGUAAUCAGUAGGUCACCAGUUCGAUUCCGGUACACA